UCAAUAACCUCACCAUAAAUAUUCUCAGGCCCAUUAGAGCCACAUUCACUAACCCCGACCUUCCAUCAAACAUUUUUACCCUGAGCUCCACAACCACUACACCUUCUAUCACUACCAUGAUCAACACUAACACUAGUUGUUAUGGAGCAAAUAACUAUCCUAUGAUAUAUAAUUUCCCCAAACCCUUUGAAUAACAACAGAUCCAACAAAAGCAAAACAAUCAACUAUCUUCUCUCAAACCUGUCGCUUGCAUUGAAAUCACAAUAGCUUAUUUUGAUCUUGCGUACAACCAUCCAUCAACUUUGAAACAAUAUGCAAGAGUGUGCGAUCAACUACCAAAUCUACAACCUAAAUUAGUUAUAAGGUUUUACCAAAUACAAACCCACAAGGAGAGUUAUGUAAAAAUAGGAAAAGAAAGUUUGAUACUCAGAAGAUAGUAGAAUGACAUAUGAGUGUAGAGAAGUUGGGUGAAGAUCCAUGGUAAUGAAGAAAAUAUGGACAAAAACCCAUUAAAGGAUCUCAACAUCCAAGGUUUUUUAUAUUCGGGGACUACUACAUGUAAAACUUUCAAAGAUUGUUUGGCAAAAACACAAGUAGAAAAAAACAAAACAAAGAAAAUAUUUAUAUUGUGACAUAUAUAGGAGAGCACAACCAUCCAAAACGCAUUGUGAAUUUGUCUCCUCAUAACAAGUCAUCAAAGAAGAGAUUAUUCAGUGUCAAAAAAUAUGGGUUUUUGCCAAAUAUUAGAAACUCUGGUUCUCCGAGUACAAUGAUGUCAUAGUUUGAUCAGCCAGAAUGCAACAAUUUUCAUGUUCAUCAAUGUUAAUGAAAAGUCAAUUAUAAAAAGGUUGACUUAUAAAGAGUUGUUCACCUACUGCUAGAGAAGCCAAAUCAUAACCACACCUCGGAGACUUAGUUUCACCUAAAUUUACAAUGCUACAAUUUGAUUAACAUUAGAAAGACAAUUCCGUGAUGACAAAGGUGAUAUUUUGAUUAUCAACAUAAGAGCUAUUAGUUGGUCGGGUCUAAUCUAAAGAGAUUGUCCUAAUUAAGUAGUUCUUGUUUAGAAUUGGCCCCUAAAUAAUAUUGAUUUGAUGAUUUUUUCUAAUGAAUAUAAUAUUACAAAAAAUAAUAAUUAUUAAUUUCUCGCUUUUA